UACGAAGGGGGCUAGCGUUGUUCGGAAUCACUGGGCGUAAAGGGCGCGUAGGCGGCCGAUCAAGUCGGGGGUGAAAGCCUGUGGCUCAACCACAGAAUUGCCUUCGAUACUGUUUGGCUUGAGACCGGAAGAGGUUAGUGGAACUGCGAGUGUAGAGGUGAAAUUCGUAGAUAUUCGCAAGAACACCAGUGGCGAAGGCGGCUGACUGGUCCGGUUCUGACGCUGAGGCGCGAAAGCGUGGGGAGCAAACAGA
rnacentral:rRNA from 1 species